UACGUAGGCAGCGAGCGUUGUUCGGAGUUACUGGGCGUAAAGAGUGUGUAGGCGGUGCUCCCAGUCUGUUGUGAAAUCUCCCGGCUUAACUGGGAGGGUGCAGCGGAAACUAGAGUGCUAGAGGGUGGGAGAGGUAAGCGGAAUUCCUGGUGUAGCGGUGAAAUGCGUAGAUAUCAGGAGGAACACCGAUGGCGAAGGCAGGUCUCUGGGCAUUAACUGACGCUGAGGAGCGAAAGCAUGGGGAGCGAACAGG
rnacentral:rRNA from 1 species